rnacentral:rRNA from 1 species
GACGUAGGGCGCGAGCGUUGUCCGGAUUUAUUGGGCGUAAAGAGCGUGUAGGCGGUCUGGUAGGUCCGUUGUGAAAACUCGAGGCUCAACCUCGAGACGCCGAUGGAAACCCUCAGACUAGAGUCCGGAAGAGGAGAGUGGAAUUCCUGGUGUAGCGGUGAAAUGCGCAGAUAUCAGGAAGAACACCCGUGGCUAAGGCGGCUCUCUAGUACGUGACUGACGCUGAGACGCGAAAGCGUGGGGAGCGAACAGG